rnacentral:rRNA from 1 species
AGUGAACGCUGGCGGUAGGCCUAACACAUGCAAGUCGAACGGCAGCACAGUAAGAGCUUGCUCUUACGGGUGGCGAGUAGCGGACGGGUGAGGAAUACAUCGGAAUCUACUUUUUCGUGGGGGAUAACGUAGGGAAACUUACGCUAAUACCGCAUACGACCUACGGGUGAAAGCAGGGGAUCUUCGGACCUUGCGCGAUUGAAUGAGCCGAUGUCGGAUUAGCUAGUUGGCAGGGUAAAGGCCCACCAAGGCGACGAUCCGUAGCUGGUCUGAGAGGAUGAUCAGCCACACUGGAACUGAGACACGGUCCAGACUCCUACGGGAGGCAGCAGUGGGGAAUAUUGGACAAUGGGCGCAAGCCUGAUCCAGCCAUACCGCGUGAGUGAAGAAGGCCUUCGGGUUGUAAAGCCCUUUUGUUGGGAAAGAAAAGCAGCAGGUUAAUACCCCGCUGUUCUGACGGUACCCAAAGAAUAAGCACCGGCUAACUUCGUG